UACAUAUCAUAGCAUACAUGAUAGAUCUUACUGUCAAAAUAUAUAGUAUUCUACUCAUGUAUUCUCUCUCCUCAGGAGUUAUCAGACAAUCCUUUUUGAAAAGAAUAAUCUCAUGGCCUAUUGGAAGAUAGCUUUUUUUUGAAAUUAUCUAUGUUGAACCACUUCAACAAAGUAUCAAUGUACGUAGAUUGGGAUAAUCUAAGCAACCUUCUAGAUCUAUCCCUAUAGAUCUUCAUCCCAAGAAUAUAG
rnacentral:lncRNA from 1 species